rnacentral:piRNA from 1 species
UGGGAGGAAUGCUCGAGCGGCAUCGGA